CCCGGGAAGAUCUGAGAGCCUCUCGCUCGGGCCCGGGAAGAUCUGUAGCAGUGUCAGAGUUAACAGCAAAGACACCGAGAAAAGAAUGAACAAAGAACGGAAACACAGACCUUUAGAAGAAUGUGCUUAAAAAAGGAUAACAGGAGAUUUUACAGCUCUAGACCGUGUGUGUGUGUGUGUGUGUGUGUGUGUGUGUGUGUGUGCACGAGCCCAGUCUGUCUCAAUGACUUAUCACUUGUUAUACGUUAGCAGAACUUCCAGCUGUGUUUCCAACCACAACAUGUAUACAUCACACCCCGAUAGAGAUAAUCCCCGCGUCUCACACACAUCAUCAUUAUUACUGCACUGAAACAAGUCCUCCGAAAGAAAGGAGAGAGAUCGAGACUGAAAGAAACAGAACACGUCUAGGGAAAGAAAGAAAAAAGGAAACGAGAGAGAGGGGGAGAGAAAACGAGGGUUAAGAAAGGGAGAGAGUCUGAAAGAGAGAGAGAGAGAGAGAUUGAUUUUCCUUCUGUUGGAAUGAGUUGGAUUUCUCUACGCAGUGUCCUCAGCUCCAAAAAUCUGAUCUUUGUCUAAGUCAUAACACACACACACACACACACACACACGCGCGCACUUAACAGCCCGUAAUCGUCAAAACACAGUUUCCUGCUUAGUAAUAACAACGAGAAAAGUUUUAAUCAAAUAAUACAUCAUACUUCCAUUAGACGUCCAGUUAAGAUGUUCAGCCAUCGUCACGUCUCGGCCCCUUCGCGUCAUCGGACGUGUGGCGCUGGGAAAGGACAUCGAUCAGGAAGCGGCGGAGAACCUGACCGGGACGGAGGGGAAAUAAGAACGGGAGCGGACGAACGAAAGACACAAAGUCGAUGAAGGAAAGGAAAAAAGACACGGUGAAGUAAUGAAAGAGAGCCUGAGCGAAAGAAGGAGAGAGAGAAUAUAUUAAGAAAGAGCGAUAGAAAGAGGUCAAUCUCGAGAGAAAAAGGAAGCGCGGCUUGGCACGGCGGAAAAGAAGGAAAGAUGGAGAAAGGGAAUACUGACCGUGGAAUAAAUGAGGAAAUAAACGGAAGGAAAAGAGAGAAGAGAAAGAACCGGAGUAAGGAGGAAAGAAAAAGAAAGAAUAAUGGGGAAAUAAAUGCAGAAAGAACGAAGCUUGACACGAAAAAGAAAACAAAGAAAGAGACAAUAAUUAUAAGAGUGAAUGAAAGAAACAAAGACAAUGAAUGAAAGUGUGUGUGUGUGUGUGUGUGUGUGUGUGUGUGAAAUACUCUGUCCUUCUGCUUCGUCUCUUAAUGUUUAUGGACCUGGUGUAGUUUCUUUGAACACGUUAUUGUGAUGAUGCAGAAAUCCAGUGAGCCCUGACACACGCUAAUGCCCCAGCAUCUGCCCCCCCCCCCUCCCCCUCCCCCACUCCCUGCGUCCCUUCUGCUGCCCAACAGCUGGCAUCUUUAUUUACCGCUCGCUCUGUUUACCCUGCAAACCGACAGGAGCACCUUCCAUUCAAAUCACUCCCUCCCCGAAUAAAAGGCCGUCGACGCUCGGCAAACAGAAGACAUAAUCACGUGUGUAAU
ensembl:lncRNA